rnacentral:misc_RNA from 1 species
AGUUUGAAAUUCAUCAAAUAAGUAUAAGUCUCCUUCAGUGUAAUACUUCACAGCAACCUCGGGAGCAGGCAAUUUUUUUAACUCCUCUCCUUGGGCCUUCAAAAAUUUAUCAUAAGUUGAAAAUGCAUGGCUUUCAACACAUUCAGAAAAGUGAUAUGCCAUUCUUGGGCUAAUCAUGUACAUAAGUACUGUCAUAAAAUAAUAAGCAACAGCAAUAUGUUGAGCAAGAAAACGAUCGAACCACCAAUCGUUGCCCCCCA